rnacentral:rRNA from 1 species
GACGAACGCUGGCGGCGUGCUUAACACAUGCAAGUCGAACGGAAAGGCCCUGCUUUUGUGGGGUGCUCGAGUGGCGAACGGGUGAGUAACACGUGAGUAACCUGCCCUUGACUUUGGGAUAACUUCAGGAAACUGGGGCUAAUACCGGAUAGGAGCUCCUGCUGCAUGGUGGGGGUUGGAAAGUUUCGGCGGUUGGGGAUGGACUCGCGGCUUAUCAGCUUGUUGGUGGGGUAGUGGCUUACCAAGGCUUUGACGGGUAGCCGGCCUGAGAGGGUGACCGGCGACAAUGGGCCUGAGAUACGGCCCAGACGCCUACGUGAGGCAGCAGGGGGGAAUAUUGCACAAUGGGCGGAAGCCUGAUGCAGCAACGCCGCGUGCGUGAUGACGGCCUUCGGGUUGUAAACCGCUUUCGCCUGUGACGAAGCGUGAGUGACGGUAAUGGAUAAAGAAGCACCGGCUAACUACGUG